GAUGAACGCUGGCGGCGUGCCUAAUACAUGCAAGUCGAGCGAACAGACGAGGAGCUGGCUCCCUUGACGUUAGCGGCGGACGGGUGAGUAACACAUGGAUAACCUACCUAUAAGACUGGGAUAAAUUCGGGAAACCGGAGAUAAUACCAGAUAAUAUAUUGUACCGCAUGAUUCAAUAGUGAAAGGCAGUUUUCUCGUUACCUAUAGACGGUGCCGGGUCGGAUUAGGUAGUUGGUAAGGUAACGGCUUACCAAGGCAACGAUGCGUAGCCGACCUGAGAGGGUGAUCGGCCAAACUGGAACUGGGACACGGUCCAGACUCCUACGGGAGGCAGCAGUGGGGAAUCUUGGCAAAUGGGCGAAAGCCUGACGGGGCAACGCCGCGUGGGUGAUGAAGGUCUUCGGAUCGUAAACCUCUUUUAUUGGGGAAGAACAGAUGUAUAAGUAACUAUGCACGUCUUGACGGUACCUAAUCAGAAAGCCACGGCUAACUACGUG
rnacentral:rRNA from 1 species